GGCGUCGUAGCCAAGUGGUAAGGCAGGGCUCUGCAAAAGCCUUAUCGCCGGUUCGAUUCCGGCCGACGCCU
rnacentral:tRNA from 2 species